AUUGAACGCUGGCGGAAUGCUUUACACAUGCAAGUCGAGCGGCAGCGCGGGGCAACCUGGCGGCGAGCGGCGAACGGGUGAGUAACACAUCGGAACGUACCCUGUCGUGGGGGAUAGCCCGGCGAAAGCCGGAUUAAUACCGCAUACGACCUGAGGGUGAAAGCGGGGGAUUCUUGGGCAACCGAGGACCUCGCGCGAUAGGAGCGGCCGAUGGCGGAUUAGCUAGUUGGUGGGGUAAAGGCCUACCAAGGCGACGAUCCGUAGCGGAUCUGAGAGGACGGCCCGCCACACUGGAACUGAGACACGGUCCAGACUCCUACGGGAGGCAGCAGUGGGGAAUUUUGGACAAUGGGGGCAACCCUGAUCCAGCCAUUCCGCGUGAGUGAAGAAGGCCUUCGGGUUGUAAAGCUCUUUCGGCAGGAACGAAACGGUGGAGGCUAAUACCUUUCAUCAAUGACGGUACCUGAAGAAGAAGCACCGGCUAACUACGUGCCAGCAGCCGCGGUAAUACGUAGGGUGCGAGCGUUAAUCGGAAUUACUGGGCGUAAAGCGUGCGCAGGCGGCUCACUAAGACAGAUGUGAAAUCCCCGGGCUUAACCUGGGAACUGCGUUUGUGACUGGUGGGCUGGAGUGUGGCAGAGGGGGGUGGAAUUCCACGUGUAGCAGUGAAAUGCGUAGAGAUGUGGAGGAACACCGAUGGCGAAGGCAGCCCCCUGGGUUGACACUGACGCUCAUGCACGAAAGCGUGGGGAGCAAACAGGAUUAGAUACCCUGGUAGUCCACGCCCUAAACGAUGCCAACUAGGUGUUGGAGAAGGAGACUUCUUUAGUACCGUAGCUAACGCGUGAAGUGGCCGCCUGGGA
rnacentral:rRNA from 1 species